AUUCCAGCUCCAAUAGCGUAUAUUAAAGUUGUUGCAGUUAAAACGCUCGUAGUCGGAUUUCGGGGCGGGCCGACCGGUCUGCCGAUGGGUAUGCACUGGCCGGCGCGUCCUUCCACCCGGAGACCGCGCCUACUCUUAACUGAGCGGGCGCGGGAGACGGGUCUUUUACUUUGAAAAAAUCAGAGUGUUUCAAGCAGGCAGUCGCUCUUGCAUGGAUUAGCAUGGGAUAAUGAAAUAGGACUCUGGUGCUAUUUUGUUGGUUUGUACUCCAAGGUAAUGAUUAAUAGGGACAGUUGGGGGUAUACGUAUUCAAUUGUCAGAGGUGAAAUUCUUGGAUUUAUUGAAGACGAACUACUGCGAAAGCAUUUACCAAGGAUGUUUUCAUUA
rnacentral:rRNA from 1 species